rnacentral:rRNA from 1 species
GACGAACGCUGGCGGCGUGCUUAACACAUGCAAGUCGAACGGAAAGGCCCCCUUGUGGGGUACUCGAGUGGAGAACGGGUGAGUAACACGUGAGUAACCUACCCUUGACUUUGGGAUAACAUCAGGAAACUGCGGCUAAUAACGGAUAGGAGCUCCUCCUGCUUGGUGGUGGUUGGAAAGAUUCGGCGGUUGGGGAUGGACUCGCGGCUUAUCAGCUUGUUGGUGGGGUAGUGGCUCACCAAGGCUUUGACGGGUAGCCGGCCUGAGAGGGUGACCGGCCACAUUGGGACUGAGAUACGGCCCAGACUCCUACGGGAGGCAGCAGUGGGGAAUAUUGCACAAUGGGCGGAAGCCUGAUGCAGCAACGCCGCGUGCGGGAUGACGGCCUUCGGGUUGUAAACCGCUUUCGCCUGUGACGAAGCGUGAGUGACGGUAAUGGGUAAAGAAGCACCGGCUAACUACGUG